rnacentral:lncRNA from 1 species
CAUUUGAAAUGUAAAUAAAGAAAAUAUCUAAUAAAAAAAAAGAGGUACCAUGAAAUAUGUAAGAACUUGCAAGAAUCUUCUUAGCUUCCUCCAAAGAAAGUCAGUAUUUCCAAUCGCUUAAUUGUUUUUGAGUGAACUCUUUCCAAACAAAACCAUGCCAUAUUGGUGAGCUGAUACUAAGGUUUCCAGCCCUGUAGUUCACAGACUGAUUUAUUUUUCAUGAGCACAUGUAAUUAAAAUCUCAUUUCUGGUUAGGAACAAGCCUAGUAAGAGAAUUGCAAAGAAGUUACAGAUAGGGAAGCAAUGUCACACAGCAGACCUCUCUUUGAGUCUGCCUCGGGGGAUAUAUGAAGCAGAGCAAUUCAGUUUAAGUACAAAAAGAGAGUUUCACACUCACCCCAGAUCUUGAGUCAGCAUCAUUCAGUACAGCUCACCCUGUCUUACAGAUCACCUUAUCAUCGUCAGUGCUGAUUCACAGUGGGAUGGGGAGAAUGGAUGCAGAAACAGUUUGUGAGGAGACCAUGAAGACAUCCAUUUUCUUCUCCAUUUCUCUACUACUCUCAGAUCUUAUGUUCAUCUCAAAAGCCAUCAUAGGCAAGAGGUGAUACUAAUUAGGUUAUGGUAAGUGACACACCUCCUGAUUACAGCUAUAGCCUGGACCCAGAACUGUUUUAGACUAUAACUCACUUUUAGUAUCUGUGCAAUUUCUGAGCACUAGUGCAGAUAAAAUCCCUUGUAUUCUUGUUAGCACCUUGGAUGCCUUUCUGAAGGAUACAACCUAUGGGUCUUAGUGGCACAGGAAAGAUAAGAUGUCCUUUGUCGUUCAUUUUCUGCAAAUAGUCUGUAUUUACAGUACCAUGCCAGUCGUUUCUGACUACCACUUAGGGCAAUUUGCUUAGCCUAGCGGAAUGUCUUGGAAACUACUGGCAAUGAUUUAGCCUCCAAAAUUGGAACACAUUUAGUAGAGACAGAAAGCCUAUGAACAAAUAGUGGGCAUGUGCCAGAGUAAAUAAGUGUGGUUCAUGAGCUGCGGUCAGAAAUGUCUCUCAGUAUGCAGGCAAAGCCUUUGCCAAUAUUUGCCAUGAAGCCAUCACACAAAGCAGUUUUUCCUCUCAGUAAGACAGACUCAAUGAAAGAAGGAACCCGGCCUCACAAUCUCCUCGUGGGGCUGUCAUCACAGGUCAUACGAAAGGAGACCUGCACUGAGAGGACUUUUUUCCAAUUAGUAUUUCUUACUCAGCCUGCCAAACUUUCAUGAAAAAAUACAAAGAACGAGACUCCUGAGGGAAUAGUAGGCUGCGAGCGUUGGUGGAGGAGAACUCUACAGCACGACACGCCCCUUCCAAGGUCUCAUAGUAAGCCACAGCAUCGGUUAACUUUGCCUCUUUUCCAAACCCAAGCUCUGGCCUGUACUGUAUAACUCCUUCGAAGCAGUUGGUAAGACUACUAUUCCCGAGAGAGAUCUGGAGUCAAGGAGAAGAUUCCCCAACUGAAGACUAGAAGAGACAGAACUGUACAGUGUCCACUCCGGGCUGUCUGCAUUUCCUUUAAAAGUUAACUCCUUGAUCACACAUAACUGGUAGCACUUGGCCUUGAGGAGCGUGCUUGCUCUCUGAUGCAGUGUGUGUGUUUGCCCACUGCGCACAGAGUUUGGUUGCACGUAAUUUUUCUACUCCUGUGUAGACUAUGUAGUUUCAUGGUGGCCACUGAAAUUCAUGAAGAAAUCUCUCAUUUAAACAAUUGAAGGAACCAUAAAUCAAUACCCAGAAAAAUUCUUUCAUUGUGGGAUUUCUUUUCUACUUGGUUAAAGCUGAGUCGCUUUAGUCUCUGCUGCUUCAUUGUGUACCCUUGACUAGCUGGCCCUUAAAGACCUAUAUGAGUCUCCUGUCUCUUUAUCAACUUUAUUGCUGUAGAAAUAUUGAGAUUCCAGCUGCACACCAAUACAUCUGGUUUUAUAUUUUUAAACAUGGGUUCCUGAGAUUGAACGUGGGUUGCCAAGAUGUGUGCUUAUCCAUGGAACCAUUUCUCUGCCCCCAGAUUGUUCUAUUUAAAGAGGUAAAUAAGGACCUGGACAGGUCACUCAGUCCCUAGGGAUACUAGCUGCUGUUCCAGAGGACCUGGGGUGGAUUCCCAGCACCCACGAUGGCAGCUCACAACAACUCCAGUUCCAAGGAUUCCAAUACCCUCUUCUGGCCUCCUCAGAAUAUACACAGAUAUACAUUCAGGUGAAACACUCAGACACAUAAAAUAAUAAUACAAUGAAAGGCAAGUUGAAUGUCCUUUUAACUUAACUACAAUAGCUUAACUACAGUGCCAUACACAGCGAGAUGCACAGAAUGCUACACAGUGUGAUUGAUAUACACACACAGUAUGAUUGAUACACACACAGUGUGAUUGAUGUACACACAGUGUGAUGCACAACCAGUGUGAUUGAUACACAGUGUGAUACACACAACGUGAUACACACACAGUGUGAUUGAUACACACAGUGUGAGUGAUACACACAGUGUGAUACACACACAGAGUGAUUGAUAUAUACAGUGUGAUACACACACAGUGUGAUUGAUACACUCAGUGUGAUACACACAGUGUGAUACACACACAGUGUUACACACACACAAUGUUAUGCACACACAGUAAAACGCACACACAAUGUGAUUUAUCCACAGUGUGAUGCACACAAAGUGUGAUUAAUACAUAGUGUGAUACACACAGUGUGAUUGAUACACAGUGUGAUACACACACAGUGUAAUUGAUACACAGUGUGAUGCACACACAGUGUGAUUGAUACACAAUGUGAUACACAGCAUAAUACAACAAUACUCCGAGAUAGCUUAGUUUGCUUAGGGUCUAGUGCUAAGCAAGAUAUGUAUCUCAGAUGGAAGUAAAAGUACCAACUAAAGAGAUGGAAAAGGGAGUCAUUUUGGAUUAUGAUGUCAUGCUUUCAGGUGCCAUCCUGGAAAAAGUGCUUACCCAUAUAGCUUCCUGCCUUGUCAAGUGGGGAUACCGCUCUGUUGUGGUCCUAGUCUUAAUAGGAAUAGAUGUGAAAUUUCCUAGGAGAGGAUACAAAGGGCUGUCCAUAUCAAUAUAGAAUGCUAUUCUUGAAAUUUGUUUUCCAGUCAUUUUUAUUGUUGUACAUAUCUAUAAAUCUAUAUAUAUAUUAGCAUAUAUAUAAAAUCUAUCUAUCUAUCAUCUAUAUAUUAUCUGUCUAUGUAUCUACCACCUAUUUUCAUAUAUCAUUGAUUUUUCUAUCAUGUACUUAUCCACUGAUCUAUCAAGCAGCAAUGACACUUAUCCAACAUGAUACCACAUAUUAUUUUUUUAGUACUCAACUCUCCCUCUUCUGUGAACUAAUGCUAAGAAAUAAAUAACCUCAUCAACAUGUAAGUAUAACACCUGAAGUGAUUAGCCAGAUGUGGUGACGCACGCCUUUAAUCCUAGCACUUUGCAGGCAGAGGAAGACUGGUAUCUGCCUUCUUGGCCAGCUUGGUCUACAGAGUGAGUUACAGGAGAGCCAGGGCUACACAGAGAAACCCUAUAUUAAAGAAGAAAACAACCUCCUUCCCAGAAUAGAACUGAGGUGAUAAAAAAGAGAAAAGGAGUGGUCGAAACGGGAAGAUGCAUGAGAGUGAACACCCAUCCACUAUCUGCUAUUGGCCCAUUCUGGGCUUCAAGUUGGGCUGAAUAGUAACUGACCAGUGCAUGUAUGAACACUGGGAGCCAGCUCAUUGCUCACACUGAAAUCUGGAUCCUCUCAUGUCACUUUGCUUAUUUUCCUGACUCCAAGUCACGCCACAAUUCCACCUCACAAAAAGACAAACACAUUUUCCUUUCAGUUUUCUAGUCCCUUUAAUUUUACCCAGACUUUCUUGCUGUGUCCUUUUGUGCUGGGUUUAGCUUAUGUAAUAAUUUUGCCUGGGCAGCUUCUACGAAAAGCUCAGCAAUCACAGAGCUGUUUGUUUGGUUCCCUCUGACAAUCACAGAAGCCAGGAUGAGAUGUAUUAAAAAUGCAGGCAUAAAACAAAGCAAUACCAAAGCAGCAAAUUGCUGCAGGACACAAGGGUGCUCUGGGGUAUGCAUCAUUCCCACCCAAGGUUCCUAGACAUUCUGCUGUGGCAUCAUGCUGUAUCGACUCCCCUCCCCCACUAUCUGCCUCGGCUCAGGAUGAAACAAGUCUUGGUUCAGAAUAGAGAAACGUGUCUUGCAAAAAUACUCAAUUCUCUUCAAAGUGGUUUGAAGUUUUGAUCUUUCUCAGUCAGUAGUUUUCCUUACCCCAGUGACCAGUUUAGAAAAAUUUCCUGUCAGCAAACAUUUAACAAAUGUGAUUAAAUAUGGCAGACUCAAAACCUAGCUACCAUCUCAGCCAUAUUCUGGAUCAUGUUUUAAAAAUUUAUUAACAAUUUUAUUUGCUUCAGAAUUACUUAAAAUAUGUAUAAAGAUAUGUAAGUAUUAGGUUGUUGAUUUGAUUAAGAGUGCAGAAAGUUCAAAUACACACACACACACACACACACACACACAAACAUUGAUCUAAUAGGCCUCCAGAGAAUUAAAUAAAUAGGCCUCAAGAGAAUUAAAAUGUAUGUAUGUAUGUAUGCAUGUAUGUAUUGUCUGUGUCUGUCUGUCUGUCUGUCUGUCUGUGUCAUGGCAUAAAUCUAGAGGUAUUAAAGCAACUUGGGGCAUUGGCUGUCACCUUCUACCUCCUUGAGUCAGGGUCUCUCUUGCUUCUGCCGCCCUGCUGUAGACUGCAGACUAGCUGGCCUGGUGAUCAUCCUGUGUCAACCUCAUGUCACGGAUGCACUCCAACACAGGUGGCUCUUUCUUCUUUUAUGUUAGUUUCAGGGAUUGAGUGUACAGUAUUGGGCUUAUUUCUAUAUGACCCCAGAUGAAUUUUCUUCCCUCAUAUAUUUUUUCACUGCUUGAUUUUGCAACUUUUUUGCUUAGAAUAUUUUACUCUAAAUUGAAAAAGAAAAAGAAAAAAAAAAAAAACACCAAGCUCCAUCAGCUAUUUCAGAGGCCUGAGGAGAAAAAUGAAGGAUGGUGUAAAUCAAGCAGACCCACCUUUCUGACUUGUGAUGUGGUCAGGGAAUCUGGACACUAUCAAGGCAUUGCAGCCCAUACCCCAAAGUGACUUUGUUAUAGGAAAGGAGUUUAAUUUUUUUCCCUUUGUAACCUUGUGAAAUUUCCACAUUAAAAAGCAAUCACAUCUUUCAAGCUAGAAAUGAUUGUGUUUGGCACGGCAGAGCCUCUGGUGUAAUGGCUUGUGCUUGUUUUCACUGAAGCAAAAUCAGCUUUCAAAAUAAAUCAUCUGUAACAACAUUCUACUCCCCAAAUCAUAUAAUCCUAUUAACGGAGUUUCAAUUUUUCCCCAUCGUCACUGGUCUGACAAGAUCGACUGAACUUGAGUGUGGAGAUAGAGGCAGGACAGGAUUUGGCUGUGGUAAGGAGAGCUACUUAGCUGUGGACGUGUGAGAGCUCCCUGCACCUCACAAAUUCACACCUGUGUUUCAUCUUACCUCAUGUGCUUUGUCGGGAACUGUUAUGCAGUCGCUCACCAACUCAAGCUACUCAAGAAAUAGCCCAUGCCGGGACAUAGGCAGUCGGGUAGGUUACUGUGCAUGUCACAGUGAGUAAGGCCUCAGUCAAGACCAAACACACAGUUCCACUGACUGAAAAUGGGUCUCACCUGGCUGCAUGGUAGCUUUUCCCAAAGUAGAAAUUAUAUGGCAAAACCUACAAAAGCAUUUUCUUGUCAAUUUGGAAUUCUUGGGAGAGCAUGCCUAGUGUGUGUGUGUGUGUGUGUGUGUGUGUGUGUGUGUGUGUGUGUGUGUGUGAUGAAAAGAAGAAAAAGAACUAUCUUGCAGCCACAAAUAGUAUGUUUUACUUUUGCCAGCAGAGAGUUUCUAGAAAAUAUUAAGCCAGUUUCCAGCCAAUAUGUCCUGUCCAGCUUCACCUCUGUUCCUUGGAAAUGUUCUGAGACAUGGUUGAACUUGGGUUUAUCAGUCAAGCAACUCGUUAACAGUUCAUGAGUAUAAUGGCCGUAUCAAAGUGGUCAGCCAAAGCAGUUGCGGUACAUUUAUAAUCCUCCAUGUUAAGCGACAAGUGCCAAGUGUUGUGAGGCAGCGCCACGUUCUGUGGUGGACAAGCUGUUCUCUUUGGGAAGAAAUGUCGUCUUCGCAUUGGAGAUAGCCCUGUCCAUGAGCCAGCAUAUUCUGGCAUCCCACUGAUGUCUAGGCUGAAGGGCAAAUCUGUUCAUCAAAGUCAAGGCAAAGUUAGCAUCAGCCUUUUCCUCAGUCUGAGCUUACAGGCCCCCUCACUUUUCAGCUGCUCUUACUCAAUUAGAAAGUAACUCUCACUGUAGAGUUGAACCCGGUAUUUGAAUUCUAUCUCUGCCACGUACUAGACUAAUAUGUUUGAUCAAGGUAUUCAACCUCAUUAAGAUGUAAUUUAUCAAUCUACUGACAAAGUAUGAUAAGCUUACCGAAUUUAGGCCAGCAAGGUCAGCGGGCAGACACUUGCUGUCAAGCCUGUGGAUUUUGAUUCCUGGACCCACUUUGUGGAAAGUGAGAACAAGUUCUAUAAAGUUGUCCUCUAACCUUCUCAAGGCAAAAGAGUGCCCAUCUGCAUCUAAAUAAGCAAAUAAAUGUAGAAAGAUUUCCUGCCUUAAAGGAUUACUGAUAUGAUCAGAUAUUAAUUUUAAAUUAUAAAAUGUUGCUGCUAUUUUUCCCUUGGAAUAACCACGAGACCACUAUGCAUUAAAUGAAUUCUACAUAAAUGAGCUGUAACAAAUGGAAAUAAUUUCAUAAUCUCAAGCUUCUGAAAGCAUUUCUCUUAAAUGCUUAUUGUAACAGCGGGGUAGUUAGAGGGUCCUAUGUGGUUAGCAUUUGCUCCCUUGGAAACCCGAGACAUAAAGUAGUCCUGUGUGCUUCAUGUUCUGUUGCAGAGGAAAGAGCAGUGAUAGCUCCUCGAUUUCCAAGUCCACAGAAAAGCAGCAGCAUCCCCGGGCAGUGAUUUUGGUGUCUGAAGCAAGUUUAGAUAAACUGGCAGCUAUCACAGCUCUUGGAAGAAUUAUAACGAGCAUCUAUAACGUCUUGUUUAAAAUUUUGUGGCCAUUAUUUCAAUCUUGUGGAAAGCCCGACUUUCAUUAGAGAAAGCGCAUUGCUCUUUCUAGAAAAGCUUUGGAAGUUAUGGCGAUUGCUUGAAGACUCCCCUGCGUAUGUCAGACAUCCACUCACCAGGAACAAGUCAUACAAAAUGUGCAGAUUUUAAUUAUUGUUUUAAGAAAAUUAAGUGUUGCUUUUCUAGGACAUCAUAUUUAUGAAUCUAAUUUUAUUGCACUAAUGCACAAUUACAUGUAAAGUGAUGGCUACAACAUGCCUUCUACAACCAUUUAUAAACACAGUCUCACUUCUGCUCUUACCCAAAGAUAGAGAAGUAUUCAUCUGUACUGUCAUGCUGUCUAGGUUCUAAGACAUUCAAAAAUUUUAAAACUGGUUUUGUUUAGUUGAAGAUGUGAGCAACCAAAUGCGUACCUUUCUGUAACAAUGGUUAAAUUUUACAUUAAACUUGUUAAAUUUUGAUAAAUUAUUUCCUAUGACAAAUUAGGUCAUUUUGGGUCCUCAAUAAUUGUAUAUUUUUCAUCUCCAAUAGAGCUAGGCAUGAAAUUAAUUCAUACAAAUCAUCGGUGUAUCAGUUUGGUCACUUAUACUUUCAAACAACAUUGUGUAUUAUUGACAUCAAUAACGUUUAUCAGGAAAUAUGUAUAUGCCACAAAAGCUAUGAUUGUAAAUCUACAACUCGCUAUUUAAAAAGUAAGUUUAUAGAGUUAUACUGCCAACUGCAAUAUGGGCAGGUUGAACAAUUAUUGACCCUAAUAUUUAAAUGAUUUGGAAAGAGACUCAGGGAUGUGCAGCUAAAAUGAGUGUAAGUCAAACAAGUUCACUGUUUACAAGUUGUAAACUAACACAUAUCUCUCUCACACACACACACACACACACACACACACACACACACACACACAGAGUGAUGAAGUCAUUUGUGCACAAGUCUGUCUUCAGGGCAGUACCUGAUCUCUUUGGCUGGGGGCAGAAAGGGGAAUCUGGCAGAAGCAAACGCAUUAGCAGCACUUUUAUUUUUUUUAAUGUAUUCACUUUACGUUGCUGCUCCUUCUCCUGGCCUGCCCCUCACACAGUCCCGCACACAGUCCCUCACACUUCUCCCAUCUUCCUUCCCUUCCCCUUUAAGAGAGUGGAGCCCCCCCCCCCUUAGUCCUCCCACCCUGGCAUGUCAAGUCUCUGCAGGGCCAGGCACAUCCUCUCUUACUGAAGCCAGAGAAAGCAGUCCAAUUAGAAAACUGCACUCCACAGUCAGGCGGGGAGUGGGGGGUGGGCAGCCUUCCAACUAGUUGUUGUGUGUGGGGGUGCCCACAUGAAGACCAAUCUGCACAUUUGCUACAUAUGAGUGGUGGACCUAGGUCCAUCCUGUAUAUACUCUUUGGUUGGUAGUCAGUCUCUGGGUGCCCCAAGGGUCCAGGUUACGUGACUCUGUUGGUGUUCCUGUGGAGAUCCUAUUCCCUUUGGGUCGCUCAAUCCUUCCCCCAGCUGCACAUUUCUUAUAGUAACAACAUUUGAGAAUGUCACCUCAGUGUAUGGUAGAGCCAGUACUGAGUGUCUCCAAACAGUGUUUAAGUAAAUAAAAAAGGGCUGCCAGCAAAAAUCUUGUGUCUCAGGCAUUUUUUUAAAGGGUGUGUCAGGAAGGGGGCUCUGUUUUUAGUCUGGUUAAAAAAAAGAACAAAUAUUCCUCGAGCCACUAAAUCAUUCCGUCCUCUUUAGAAGAUUAUAUCUGGAUACCUUCAGACAAAAGACAGAACCUAAACUCAGAGUUUAUGGAGUUAAUUCAACUUUGAGCUGGAGUGAGCGAGGAUCUUAUUCCAUUAACCUUGGGCAGACAACUGUGCUUGUAUCAUGGUCUGGAAUCUUGCCCCUAAAACCCACAAUUGCUGGAUAUUACAUGAUCACUGCCUGCUAACAAUCACUCCCAUGUGGUGGGAUUACAUUCUUUUCCUACUCAUAAUAGUGUGACAGUUUCCCUAGGGCACAGGUGCCAUCCAAAGAAAGUCAUGUCUUCCAGAGGAAGGCCCUUUUUGGUUCUUUUCAGAGUUUUUCCAAGUGGCCAUGACUUACUUUAUUGUCUUUGUAUACCCACUAAUGUUUUCUGUCCUGAGCAGGGAUAUCUAAAAGAAACCAGAGUGGAGAUAAGACUUUUAAUACAUCCUGGGUAUGGUCAGGCUCAAGGCAAAAAUAAAGAUGAUGUAAUAAACAUUUCAUUCAUGAGAAGGAUGUUUUGAUCAAGAUCUCAUUCUGUCUCUGUCUCAAUGAUGCUGAUGAUAAUGAUGAUGACGGCAAUGACAAUGAGGGUGACAACAGGGAUUAAACUUAACACCUUUCCUAUACAAGCUGCUUCCUAAACUGUUAAUUUGAUCCCCUAGAUGGCAUCCUCUUAAUUUGGCCACCUAAAAUCCUCAAAUCACAAAAACAGGAUGACAGUGAUUUGCUGCUGAUCUGAACACUGGCGAGUUGAGGUGAGCUAACGAGUCUUUGGGUCUCUGACUAUAUUUGUAGCACAUAGACUGUCUUAGUUUGGGUUUUACUGCUGUGAACAGACACCACGACCAAGGCGACUCUUAUAAAAACAUUUAAUUGGGGUUAGCUUAAAGGGUCAGAGGUUCAGUCCAUUAUUAUCAGGGCAGGAGCAUGGCAAUGACCAGGCAGGCAUGGUGCAGGAGAAGCUGAGAGUUCUACAUCUUCAUCCAAAGGCAACAGGAAAAGAUUAGCUUGCAGGAAGCUAGGAAGAGGGUCUUACAGCUCACACCCACAGUGGCACACCUACUCUAAGGCUACACUGCCAAAUAGUGCCACUCUCUGAGACAAAGAUAUUCAAACCACUACAUUUACUAACACAGACCACUUCUGAAUUAUUAUUGUGUAUGUCUCUGUGACACAGUGACUACCAUGAAAUGCACUAUUAUGCAUUUGCAUGUGGCACAGAAGUGCAUUUGAUAUAACAUAUUACUCAGUUAUGGACAUUUGCUUCUGUGGCUCUGUUUUGUUUCCUUAUUAAGCUGAGGCAUCGUGUGAGUAGGACUAAUGCACACUCCAGCCUCUAGCCCAGAGAUUAUGUGAACAGAUAGUAGACAUUAAGGAUUUAUGUGGAAAGCCAUGAUGCUAACUGUAGCCAACAUUCUAGAGUUGUGGAUCCCCUAUGUCAAUACCAUUAGAUGGAAAAGGAUUAAUCUUCCAACUUUGGCUAACUCAAGCCACCAGAUACAAGUUUCGUAGGUUUCUCUUCCUUUGGGGAACCUGUAUCAACAUUAUAGUAAGAUCUAUAAUUACAGAUGUUGAUGUAAGAUCAAACUGACUAAAUUUUGUAAAAACUACAUUGCUUUUAAAAGUCAGUAGAGAGAGCUAGGAACCCCAUUAGGGAAUUUCCUUUUAAAAGAAUCUUGCAGAUAUUUUAGAAGAUUUACUUUUGUGGUCAUUACAGACCAGCACCCCGAGAAGUCCUAUGUCACCAUACCUAAUAUCUGUAAAUGAUAUAAAAACAUGUAUGUCCAGGUAACAUUAAGCUAAAAGAUUUAUACUUCUGUUAAAAGGAACAAUAUUGAGUAUUUACUGACUCUUAGUAUUAAGAUAUCCCUUAAAGAGGUUUUAAAUCUCAUUUUGCACGUAUAGUACACUGAAUGAAGCUAUUUAUUGUUAUGGGUGUUCAUCACUGGAGUGGCUUGGGAUUCUUGGAGUCCAGAUAAUUAUAUACAACACUAACUCUACUGGAUUUGGGUUUAACAUGUCUAUUAAAAACUUCAUUGCAUGUAUCCUACCAUACAGCUAUGAUUUUGAACCCAAACGGCUCAGAGUGUCAUGUCAGGUAGCUUUUUGUUAAUCUUUAUAUUUCAAUAUAGUCAUAACAUUGUGAUAUUAAUUAUAGAUAGUAAGAGAAAAUAGCAAAGAGAAGCUAGAUUGUUCAUUAUAGGUCAACCAUUAUAAUCAUUCCUAGCAUGUACUAAGUCCAUAUCAGGAUGUAAAAGAAAAAAGAAAGGAGUAUUUACGUAUUUAAAGUUCAUGUACUCUUUAGUAUUACGGCUUAUAUUAGGUAGGAUAACAAACACUGGGUGUUUUAGUUGGUGCGAUGCUGGUUAUUGUCACAAAUGGAUAGUGAAACACAGGGGUGAUUACAUGCAACAGAAAUGUUCGUCUUUUCUGUAAAAUAUCCCAAGUUACUUACCGAGUGGAGAUAUGUGAAUGGACCCAGUCACUCAGGGGCAUAGACCUGUGACGUUCUGUACAAUUCAGCAUUCAUCAUUGUCAGUGUGAUUAUCUCUGGAAAUGGGAAGGAAAUCUAGUAGU